rnacentral:lncRNA from 1 species
AAGACUCUAAGCAUGAGGUGGACACUCCUUAAGCCUUCAGACAUUCCACUAAGCAAGUAAACUCUAAAAUUGUUAAAUCAGUGUUAUGCUCUCUCAUUCCUCUCUUUUCCAUCCGUUCCAUUUUUCUUUCUUCAUUAUCUGUUAAACUCUUAAACAUCCUAAGUCAUCGAAAUUUUCCUAAUUUCAAUGGAUUGGCAAGGAGUUGAAGUUGGAUACUUAAAUUAGAGAAGGGCUGGGGUAAGGCCAGCUUAAAAGAGGAUGUAUAUUCAAUCAAUUACAAGCUUGGAACACGAAUUUGGUUGUUUCAUUAAGCAAGUAAGUUGGAUUCGAGGGGAAUUCUAGCAACAAGGGGUAAACUUAGAAGCAAAAAAAGGUAUAUACCUCAUCUCUUCUAUGUUUUUAUUUAUGAAUGAAAAAAAAUUAGUUGAUAAUGAAAAUAGUUAAUAAUAUGAAUUGGUUAACUAUGUAUGCUUAACUGAAGUAUUAGUAAUUGAUUAUGGUUAUAAAAAGAGCUAAUUGAUGUAAAUGAAAUGGAGUAGAAACCUGGUUCAAAUGAAUUAAAUUUGAUGUAUAACAAUUAGAAAUCAAAGGUAGCAUCAUCAUAGUGUAUAACAUUCUGGGAUUCUGCAGAGCGCGAACACUGCCAGUGUGGCACUGCUGCGAUGAUAUUAGGUUUAAAAUGGGCACAGCUACGCCACUGUUUCACGAAGAAAACCAAGAAGGCGCGGCGGUGCUGCGCCGUUUCAUAGGCCAAUAACAGCGCAGCCGCGCUGAUGCUGUUGAGUUUUAAAAAAAUGAAACAAACAGAUUGUUUAAUAAAGGGACUUGGAUGCACAUGUAUAAUAGCUUUCAAGACUUGAUGAAGAAAACAUAAGGAAGCAAAUUAGAGCUUGUAUAAAUUGAUGAAAUUCAAUUGUAAAAUUCUAAAUAUCAAAUCAAAUGAAUAUUUAAAAGAAUGGAUCAAAGCUUCUAGAACUCUGUGGUUAUAAGCUGUAUUUGCUAUCACAGAAUCUGAGUACUGUAUUAACAUGAUAGGGAAUGGAUAGAGUUACCAAAUCUUGGGUCUGGGCUGGACAGGGAGUAGCACAGCUGUGCCACUCCCAAGUCAAAGGCAACGCAACUGCGCCGAGCUGUAGAGCUGCCAAGACAAGUUGUAUAUAAUUUGGGCUUUGGGAUAUGUAAGCAUGAGUCUUCUAAUAUGUAUUACAUUAAACAUGAGAUGUUUAGCAUGAUCUAGCAUGGAAUGAUGAUAUCAAAGAAAAGUAGAAUAAGAAGUUUUCAAAUAAAAUACAAUAAACAAGAGUAAGGAUCAUAAUAAGCAAAGUAAUUAUAUUUGAUAUGUAUAACUGAUGUGGCUUGUAUAUACACUUGAUUGUGUAGGAUUCACAAGACACAGGUAGCAGCUAUAAGCUGUAAUCUACUCGGAAGGUAAUUCCUCUAUUUCUAUUUGCUACUUGCUCUUGAUUUUAAUUACAUAUACUCAUUGCAACAAUAAAGAAUGUUGACAUGCAUGUUACUUGCUAUAAAUUGGGAACAUCAAAUUAUGAACAUAUUUGGUUCAGUUAUAGAACUCAAUUUGUGAUAUGUGAUAUAUCAAGUAUGUGGAACAUAUAUUUAUUUGAAACUGAUAUUUAUGUUGAGCAUGAAAUCGUAUAAUUGCUUUAAAUUGAGAUAUAUGUUGAGCAUGAAACUUAUGUGCUAUGUGUGACAUGAAAACUGCUAGAUUUGUUGAGCUGUCAAGCUCAAUGUUGCAAAAAUAAAUUUUUUGCAUGUUAGCGAUACAAUGCAAAAAUACUUGUUAUUUGGAUGACAUAGAAAAGAUGGCGUACAAGAGAAUCAUGUUUUCUUUAUUUUGAAACUUAGAUGGUAUCAUGAUAAUGAUGUACAAGUAUACAUAUGUGUAAAUUCCUGAAAUAUUCAAUAAAUAAAGUAUUUGUUUUGAAACAAGAAUGUAUUGUGGUGAAUGUUUGUAUGUAGAAUUAUACAGGUAGAACAUCAAUACAGAAGAUGUUAAGUAUUGAUAAUUGAACUCUUAUAGUUCAUUUAUUCUGAUUAUAUUGGGAAUCAUGAAGGUUGCGAUUCAGAUAACGUAGGAAAAGAAAGAUAUAUAAAAGAAGUUUUAAUUAUACGUAUUUUUUCAGUCGAUAUUGCAUCUAAUUUUGAUAUAAGGCUGAACUUAAAUAGUAUUGAACGCACAAUGUCGAGACUAAUAUUAAUCCUAAUAUUGGGUUAAGUUGGUCCCGAUUUUGGGGUUGUCACAUAACCAAACUAGAAUAAAAGUUCAUAAUCAAUCCGGGCAUAAUAUAGUAUUCUAGAUGCAUGCUUAUACUAUGUGUGUGUGUGUGUGUGAAAUUAUAUUAAGUCUGAAGUGUUUAAAGAUAUUUGGAAUAUCUGAUAAGUGGUAUUUUUACUUACUUAUUGAAUACCAAUUCAUGCGAAUUGUGCCCAUCUCAAGUACAUUUUAUUGUGUUUUAGUUGCAUUUCUUGUUAUUUUGCAUUGUAUUUACUUAAAACUCCUUUUGGUGAAUAAGUGCAGGAAUUGGCUUAAUUUUGGUGGUAUUAGAGGACACGAGGCGAAUGGACGCGUGAAAGUAAGGCACAUGCGGGGGAAUGCAUGGCAUGAAGGUGCAAUAGAGCAAGGAGAUCAAGUAUGGAAGAAGAUUAAGCAUGAAUGAACAAGUAGUAGCAGCAGCAGCAGCUUGACAGAACCAUAACCAGAAUUUGCAAACUGUAAGUCGCGUGGUCGCGCGGCAAGAUGAGCAUGGAAACGCACGCCCGCGCGAGUACCCAGCCAGACACUGACGACCUACUGCAAGUUGCGCGGUCGCGAGCAUGUCAAGCAUAGGAAACGCGCGCCCGCGUGAGGACUCGAUUGGACAGGGCAAGACAUUCUGCAAGUCUCGCACCCGUGCGAGAGAUAUACUGGAGAGGCGCGCGGCCGUGUGCAAUGCUGAUGCUGUGAUUUUGUUUUAUUCUAAUUUUAAUUAAAUAAUGUGUACUUGGUUUUUAAAAAAUUAUUCUGGCGUGUGUCAGAGGCAGGAUUGAGACUUUUGACGUAUUUUUCAUAUUGUAAUUAGGGUUUACACCUUGGGAGAGAUUCCAACAGAGAACAAAGAUAAAACGUCUACUUCUCCAAUUCUUCUUGGGAUUCUCUAUCAUUGUGGAUUUUCAUUAUUAUCUACUGGAUUUCUAUGAGGAUUUAAGCGUUUAUCAUUGGUUUUUAUUCAG